GGAGCCGGCCAGGCAAUCGCCCCGUUCCAGUCUUCGGACUGACACGGGGAGGAAAGUCCGGGCUCCACAGGGCAGGGUGCCAGGUAACCCCUGGGGGGCGUGAGCCUACGGAAAGUGCAACAGAAAAGAUACCGCCCCCGGAUCGUUUCGGCGUGAAGGAGGUAAGGGUGAAAUGGUGCGGUAAGAGCGCACCGCGCAGGUGGUAACACGCUGCGGCAUGGUAAACCCCACCCGGAGCAAGACCAAAUAGGAAAGCAAUACCGUGGCCCGCGGUGCUUUCGGGUAGGUUGCUCGAGGCUGCCGGUGACGGUGGUCCCAGAUGAAUGAUUGUCCGCGACAGAACCCGGCUUAUCGGCCGGCUCCCCCU
rnacentral:RNase_P_RNA from 1 species